rfam:Gossypium raimondii Chr11_contig_1204, whole genome shotgun sequence.
UGUUAAAAAAUUUAUUCAUUUGUACAGUAAAAAAUCGACGUGAUUGAUGGAAUAACCAGAUAGUGACACGUAAUGUAUCACAUGUACCUCAUGCUGACAUACAACUACAAAUUUUUAACAGUAAAAAUGAAAAAUUUUUUAAUA